AGGUGGGAGAUGUGACUUCCUUCCAACAUACGGAAUGGAGCAAAGGUGACCGGGUGUCACUUCCAUGAUUAUAUCACGUAAGUCCAAAUGCAGCCAAUCACCAGCCACCUAUGCCAUCACCUGGCGGAAGCGGCUGAGGGAAUCAGCUGUGCACCUGGAAGAGGAAAGGCAGCUGCUGGGAUACUGGAGUCAGAAUAUGGUCAACAGUAUAAAUGGAUGGAAAGGAUCAACAAGGUCCAUGGCCACAAUAGCUUUGUAAGGAGCAUAGUCUGUCUACUUCCCUAAAGCCUUAGUCCUUGAGCUGCUCCCCUGUUCAUUCUGAAACCUGGAAUGCACAGCUACAGAACCAACACUUCAGCCAUAUUCCAAACACAAGCAGUGUUUUCCAUUUCUCAGUGUGACUUGUCCUUUCCAAAUUCAUUGUCUAUGUAAUAAGGCUUGCUACUAUACCGAUGACGGA